GUGGGUAUAGUUCAGCGGUAGAGCGCCAGAUUGUGGCUCUGGAUGUCAUGGGUUCGAACCCCAUUACCCACCCCA
rnacentral:tRNA from 1 species